rnacentral:rRNA from 1 species
UACGAAAGGUGCGAGCGUUAAUCGGAAUUACUGGGCGUAAAGCGCGCGUAGGCGGUUUGUUAAGUCUGAUGUGAAAGCCCUGGGCUCAACCUAGGAAUUGCACUAGAUACUGGCAAGCUAGAAUGCGGUAGAGGGGGGUGGAAUUCCAUGUGUAGCGGUGAAAUGCGUAGAUAUGUGGAGGAACACCAGUGGCGAAGGCGGCCCCCUGGACUGACAUUGACGCUGAGGUGCGAAAGCGUGGGGAUCAAACAGG